rnacentral:rRNA from 1 species
AACGAACGCUGGCGGCAGGCUUAACACAUGCAAGUCGAACGCCCCGCAAGGGGAGUGGCAGACGGGUGAGUAACGCGUGGGAAUGUGCCCCAAGGUACGGAACAACAGCGGGAAACUGCUGCUAAUACCGUAUGUGACCGAGAGGUGAAAGAUUUAUCGCCUUGGGAUCAGCCCGCGUUAGAUUAGGUAGUUGGCGGGGUAAUGGCCCACCAAGCCUACGAUCUAUAGCUGGUCUGAGAGGAUGAUCAGCCACACUGGGACUGAGACACGGCCCAGACUCCUACGGGAGGCAGCAGUGGGGAAUCUUGGACAAUGGGCGCAAGCCUGAUCCAGCCAUGCCGCGUCGAAUGAUGAAGGCCUUAGGGUUGUAAAGUUCGUUUCGUCGGGGACGAUAAU